AAGUGGAAAGUUUUAAAUUUCCAAAAGUACAAAAAUGUUGAAAACAUAUUACGCCGCUGCUAAGCGACACGAGUCUGAAGCCAAGGUAAACGUUUACCAAUGCUUCGUAUUUGACGACAUGGUGCACUUGCUGUAACAAGGUAACAUGUCCAACAAACUUAAGGCAGAACGGUGCUCGUUUAGGUAACCCAUGAGGCUCUUGUAGGACACAGCAAUGCAACAGCACCUUCGAGGGAAACCGUGGGAAAGAAGAUCGUCUUUAUUAGAGAGCCCACCAAAGGUUGAAGGCAGGACACGACCGAGAAAGCCGAAGGAUGGAAAAGACCUAUUUUUUGAAGUGGUGAUGUUUGUGGGGUCGUUGUCGUCAAGCAAACCCUCGGGCGACGUUGUGCCCGAGCUCUGCAAUCGGCGCACAUCGC
rnacentral:lncRNA from 1 species